GCAGUUGGUAGCUCAGUGGUAGAGUGCAUCCUUUAUAAUUAUAAUGUCCUGGGUUCAAUCCCCAGCUUCUCUCCA